rnacentral:tRNA from 1 species
GCCUGGGUGGCUCAGUUGGUUAAGCGACUGACUUCAGCUCAGGUCAUGAUCUCACAGUCCGUGGGUUCGAGCCCCGCGUCGGGCU